rnacentral:rRNA from 2 species
UACGGAGGGUGCAAGCGUUGUCCGGAUUUAUUGGGUGUAAAGGGUGCGUAGGCGGGACGGUAAGUCCGAGGUGAAAGCCCGCAGCUUAACUGCGGAACUGCCUUGGAUACUGCCGACCUUGAGUCCCGGAGGGGUGGCUGGAAUUCCUGGUGUAGCGGUGAAAUGCGUAGAUAUCAGGAGGAACACCGGAGGUGUAGACGGGUCACUGGACGGGUACUGACGCUGAGGCACGAAAGCGUGGGGAGCAAACAGG